rnacentral:rRNA from 1 species
GAUGAACGCUGGCGGCGCGCCUAACACAUGCAAGUCGAACGGCACCCCUCCUCGGAGGGAAGCGAGUGGCGAACGGCUGAGUAACACGUGGAGAACCUGCCCCCUCCCCCGGGAUGGCCGCCCGAAAGGACGGGUAAUACCGGAUACCCCGGGGUGCCGCAUGGCACCCCGGCUAAAGCCCCGACGGGAGGGGAUGGCUCCGCGGCCCAUCAGGUAGACGGCGGGGUGACGGCCCACCGUGCCGACAACGGGUAGCCGGGUUGAGAGACCGACCGGCCAGAUUGGGACUGAGACACGGCCCAGACUCCUACGGGAGGCAGCAGUGGGGAAUCUUGCGCAAUGGGGGGAACCCUGACGCAGCGACGCCGCGUGCGGGACGGAGGCCUUCGGGUCGUAAACCGCUUUCAGCAGGGAAGAGUCAAGACUGUACCUGCAGAAGAAGCCCCGGCUAACUACGUG